rnacentral:rRNA from 1 species
UACGAGGGGGGCAAGCGUUGUUCGGAAUUAUUGGGCGUAAAGGGCGCGUAGGCGGUUUGACAAGUCUGAUGUGAAAUCUCUGGGCUCAACCCAGAGUCUGCAUUAGAAACUGUCGGGCUUGAGUAUGGGAGAGGUGAGUGGAAUUUCCGGUGUAGCGGUGAAAUGCGUAGAUAUCGGAAGGAACGCCUGUGGCGAAAGCGGCUCACUGGACCAUAACUGACGCUGAGGCGCGAAAGCUAGGGGAGCAAACAGG